CCUACGGGCGGCUGCAGUGGGGAAUAUUGGACAAUGGGCGAAAGCCUGAUCCAGCCAUGCCGCGUGUGUGAAGAAGGCCUUCGGGUUGUAAAGCACUUUCAGUGGGGAAGAAAGCCUUGGGGCUAAUACCCUCGAGGAAGGACAUCACCCACAGAAGAAGCACCGGCUAACUCCGUGCCAGCAGCCGCGGUAAUACGGAGGGUGCGAGCGUUAAUCGGAAUUACUGGGCGUAAAGCGCGCGUAGGCGGUCUGAUAAGCCGGUUGUGAAAGCCCCGGGCUCAACCUGGGAACGGCAUCCGGAACUGUCAGGCUAGAGUGCAGGAGAGGAAGGUAGAAUUACCGGUGUAGCGGUGAAAUGCGUAGAGAUCGGGAGGAAUACCAGUGGCGAAGGCGGCCUUCUGGACUGACACUGACGCUGAGGUGCGAAAGCGUGGGUAGCAAACAGGAUUAGAUACCCCUGUAGUC
rnacentral:rRNA from 1 species